GACGAACGCUGGCGGCGUGCUUAACACAUGCAAGUCGAGCGGAAAGGCCCUUCGGGGUACUCGAGCGGCGAACGGGUGAGUAACACGUGAGUAACCUGCCCCAGACUUUGGGAUAACCCUCGGAAACGGGGGCUAAUACCGGAUACGACACAGCUUCGCAUGGGGUCUGUGUGGAAAGUUUUUCGGUUUGGGAUGGGCUCGCGGCCUAUCAGCUUGUUGGUGGGGUGAUGGCCUACCAAGGCGACGACGGGUAGCCGGCCUGAGAGGGCGACCGGCCACACUGGGACUGAGACACGGCCCAGACUCCUACGGGAGGCAGCAGUGGGGAAUAUUGCACAAUGGGCGGAAGCCUGAUGCAGCGACGCCGCGUGGGGGAUGACGGCCUUCGGGUUGUAAACCUCUUUCAGCAGGGACGAAGCGUAAGUGACGGUACCUGCAGAAGAAGCGCCGGCCAACUACGU
rnacentral:rRNA from 1 species